GUGAGGGGGCUGUUUGGGAUGGCCGAGUGGGCAAUUAUCUUCCGGUCGUGUGGGGCUGUAUCUCCUGGGGAGAGCUUUGGCUGUACGUCCUCCCCAGCCACACUGCUGGUGUCGCCUGUCCUUGAGACUGACUCUGUUCUUCAGCGCUGUUCGUUGCGCGCGCCCGUUCCGCAGGAUCCGCUGCCUCGGGAAGGUUUGUUGGGUGAGGACGGGGAGCGGGAGCUUUCGGCCAGACCUGGGGGAGAGCUCCUGUCCCGUUGGGGGCGAUGCGAGUGCAUUAGGAGCCGCAGGACCUUCUCUACGGGGAAGCUUUUGGGGAUACAGUUAAUCCUGACUUGUGAGUCGGAGCCCUCCGUUCUCUCACCCCCCCCAGGCACGUACUCUCCUGGAGACACUCUGCUGACUUGAGGGAAGCUGGAAACUCCGCUUGCGGACCAGCGGUGCUGCAGCUUCAGAGAAAGCAAAAGUUGCAAGCGUGCAGGGCUGGCUUGCCCUUCUGCUAGGCAGGGUAGCAAACGUCUCGAGGUGGGGAGGGAGCCCCGGUGCAGCAUUCAGGGCAGUUUGGGCUGCGAUAUCCCCGGCCAGGUUGCCUUGAAGAGGUGAAGGAAUAGCUCAGGGCUAUUCAUGCACGUCUAAUGCCAACCACCACGAGGAUCCUAAGCACCGCUGCAGCGUACACAGCAAAUACCAACACGCAGGCUGGGAGCAGAGACCCGGCAGCUUGCAAGGACGUGACAGGCGCCGACAAACUGCCAGAGAGCCCUGCUCAGGGUCACCUUGAAUUUGGCAGCUUGAGAUAAGGCUGGGGCAGCAGCGGAGACUGCUCAGAACGGGGAACGGUGAAAAAUGAUCUUGGCAAGAGAGCAAUGAAAGGAAAAAUCCCAAGGCAAACUGGCAGGCCAAGGUUUGUGCCAAGCUGUUGAUGCACUUCCUAGGCAAGACGGCUGCUAGCUGGCAUCUUGGCCGCAGAAUCACUUGGUUGUUUUAUUUUCCUGCGCAGGGACUGCAGCCAGUGCUGGGAGGACUUCUGACGGGGCAGGAAAACAGGGCUAGUCAUCCAAACCCAGCCGUAGCACUCUGCCCGAGGCUUUCACUCAAGUUUCCUCGGCCACCGCAGAUGAGCGCGGCUCGGCAGCACGUCCGUAAGCACAAACAAGGGAAGGGCUUGGAGCGUGCCAGGGUUCCCCACGGACCGCAAAGCCGUGAGCUCCCGCAAGCCGCCCUGCCGAGUUGCAGCUGCCUGCUGCAGGCAUGUCUCGUGGUGACAGCCCUUCCCGGUGUCCCCAGGGCCAGGCGGUCCAAGGGGAGGUGCGAAGCCGUCCAUCACCCCCCCGAAGCAGUGCGGCUUGGCGAGGGGUGACCCCCGUGCCGGGGGGUUUUGUCUGUUCAUGGUUCAAAUAGGGAAGGGGGUUGGCUGUGGCAGAUGAAAUGAGGAGUGGACAUGGCCAGAAAGGAGCAGGUUCGGGUCGGAGAGGAGGAAAACCUUCCCCCAGAGGCUGCUGCAACCGUCGGUGGGGAGGGACACCUCCAGCCUUGGUGGUUUUCCAGGUGUUGGUGGGCAAAGCCACCGAAUGCGAACAGCGGGCUGGGAGACGCACGCGUGCAGCUAUCAGCCACCGGCGCCGGGAAGCUAGAAGGUCAAUCCAGGACUGAGAGAUUCCUGCUUAAUUCAUUCCUCAGGACUCGGUUUCUACCCGGAAGCUGGACUCGGGCUCUGGCGGCUGGCAGAUACGUGCUGCGCUCACCCCCACAGCCUUGCUCUCCGCUUGGGAUUUGCUUCGUGGUGUUUAGAGGCGAUGGGGACACGGCAACAAACAUCCUCGUGGCUCUGCCGUUUCUAGUAGCUACUCCACCUUGUGAAGCUCCGUGCAAGACCGCCAUCAGCUAGAGGAGGGGAGAUGAGUAAUGAACUGAAGACGACCAGCUACAAAGUGCUGGCUGGAGGGGAAGAGCCCUGUCUGGGCAGGAGGAGAGGGAGUCUAAUACCUCUGGUCCGUCCCCUCCUCCAGGGUAUGAACAGUCACCAUCCUGCCUGAAGCUCCUUCUGCGGCCAUGUGCUGUCCUCCCUCUUCUCUCAUCCACCCAAGGAAAUAUCUCAUGCACCAAGCCAUCAUCUCCAGGAGAAGUGGCUGCGGGCAGGGCUGGUGGGAUCACCAUCCUGGAUCACUAGGAGCCCAGCGGAGCAGGGGACAACAGCCUGGCUCUGCGUGAGCGUCCCUGGGGGUGCCCUGGGGUGGCUGGCGUUGGGCACCAGGUGGCUGUGCCCAGCAGAAGGCCCUGGCAGCUCUCCAUGAGUGACUGCUGGGUUUCCCAGUCCUGCUGGUCCCGGCCAGCUGCCCCAGCCCUGCAGGGGAUGGGGCAGGAGAUGACCUGGCCGGUCAUGUCACAGCAAACCGGGUGGCCUGACGGUUCCCUGCUCCCCAGCCUGGGGCUCUGCUGCGGGCAGGACGCGCGGCUCGGGGCAGCCAGGUCAGAGCAGCCUGGGGCCAGGCGCGGGGUCCUGGCUGGAGUGGGACACGGGCAGCUCUGAGGGGGAGCUUAGCUGUUGCGGUAAGGAGUCGUAAGAAAAAAACCUCAUAAAAUCUACAUAGGCAAAUGCAUUAAUUGCCCAAAGCGUCGACUCCUGACGUGUCCCUGCCACAACCUCUCCUACAGCCAUGGGCUGAGCUGGACUGGGGAUGCUGGACCCGGGGUGCUGGGCACACGGAGCACGGGUG